rnacentral:rRNA from 1 species
UGGGGGGCCUACGGGAGGCAGCAGUGGGGAAUAUUGCACAAUGGGCGCAAGCCUGAUGCAGCGACGCCGCGUGAGGGAUGAAGGCCUUCGGGUUGUAAACCUCUUUCAGUAGGGAAGAAGCGAAAGUGACGGUACCUGCAGAAGAAGCGCCGGCUAACUACGUGCCAGCAGCCGCGGUAAUACGUAGGGCGCAAGCGUUAUCCGGAAUUAUUGGGCGUAAAGAGCUCGUAGGCGGUUUGUCGCGUCUGCCGUGAAAGUCCGGGGCUUAACUCCGGAUCUGCGGUGGGUACGGGCAGACUAGAGUGCAGUAGGGGAGACUGGAAUUCCUGGUGUAGCGGUGAAAUGCGCAGAUAUCAGGAGGAACACCGAUGGCGAAGGCAGGUCUCUGGGCUGUAACUGACGCUGAGGAGCGAAAGCAUGGGGAGCGAACAGGAUUAGAUACCCUGGUAGUCCAUGCCGUAAACGUUGGGCACUAGGUGUGGGGGACAUUCCACGUUUUCCGCGCCGUAGCUAACGCAUUAAGUGCCCCUGCCUGCGAA